rnacentral:rRNA from 1 species
AGAAUCAACGCUGGCGGCGUGCCUAACACAUGCAAGUCGAACGAGAAAGUGGGAGCAAUCCCACGAGUAAAGUGGCGCACGGGUGAGUAACACGUGACUAACCUACCCUUGAGUGGGGGAUAACCUAGGGAAACCUGGGCUAAUACCGCAUAAUACCUACGGGUCAAAGGAGCAAUUCGCUUUAGGAGGGGGUCGCGGCAGAUUAGUUAGUUGGCGGGGUAAUGGCCCACCAAGACAGUGAUCUGUAUCCGGCCUGAGAGGGCGCACGGACACACUGGAACUGAAACACGGUCCAGACUCCUACGGGAGGCAGCAGUGGGGAAUUUUGCGCAAUGGGGGAAACCCUGACGCAGCAACGCCGCGUGGAGGAUGAAGCCCCUUGGGGCGUAAACUCCUUUCGAUCGGGAAGAUAAUGACGGUACCGGAGAAGAACGCCCGGCUAACUUCGCGCCAGCAGCCGC